rnacentral:tRNA from 1 species
GUCCAUGUAGUUCAGUGGUUAGAGCAUCAGCCCAUGCACCACAGGGUCACAGGUUCAAUUCCUGGUCAAGGGCA